rnacentral:tRNA from 1 species
GGGGUUGUGGCUCAGAGGUAGAGCACUUGCCUACCAUGUGUAAGGUGCCAGGUUCGAUCCUCAGCACCA